CCUGGAGCUAUUCCCCACGUGGGACAGUUAAUCAUCAACUCUCCUUACUCAUGGAUUCUGCCUAAGGCCACAAUCUAACGCUAAUACAAUUCUGAUUUUGGAUUGAGGCUAGUUAAGCAUAAAGAUGGUGAACUGAGACACACAGAAUAUUGAGUUCAGCGUCACUGAUGAAGUCCAUGGCAAAGCUGGAAACAAAACCCAGAUUUCCUGACCACCAAGAUCACAGACCAUGUGAGAGGGUUCACUGUGGUGCCUCCUGCUGCCUGUCCUGGGGAUUAGCUCUGUUUGCCAGUACAGGGAGAUUAUGUUUCUCCAGAAAGCUCGUGUCUGGUGACCACUUUGCAUGGUCCUUUAUUAAGAAGGAGGGAUUCGUUACAUUAAAGAAUCAAAGGAAAUGAAGCAUGACAUUCAGAACCAGAUCACGGUGUGGUGCUGCCAUCAUUCGGAACAGGCUGGGGUGUGAUGUUGGAGCAAGCUUCCUGCACAUAUCAGAGAAAGAGGAGACAGAAGGGGAUGUGGCUUGAAGCGCCCUGCAACCUUGAAAUACUGCAGCACAUUGAGACUUUGGAAUAUGCCUGAAUCAGAGUCACAGGCUGGGCUGAAGGUGAUCAGAUUUAAAUAAAGCAACUGGAAAGAUCAACGAGAGUGGCUAAGAUGCAUCAGUAGAGGAGGUAUUGGAACAAAUUCAUAAAUUAAACAG